rnacentral:pre_miRNA from 1 species
AGCAGAAUUGCUGGGCCACAUGGUAACUACAUUUGAGGGAACCGUUGGGCUGUUUUCCAGAGUAGCUGCAUCAUUUGACAUUCCCAGCAGU